rnacentral:rRNA from 1 species
GGGGGGUGCUAGCGUUAUUCGGAAUCAUUGGGCGUAAAGGGCGCGUAGGCGGUCUUUUAAGUCAGAUGUGAAAGCCCUCGGCUUAACCGAGGAAGUGCAUUUGAUACUAAGAGACUUGAGUAUGGGAGAGGGAAGCGGAAUUCCUGGUGUAGCGGUGAAAUGCGUAGAUAUCAGGAGGAACACCAGUGGCGAAGGCGGCUUCCUGGACCAAUACUGACGCUGAGGCUCGAAAGCGUGGGGAGCAAACAGGAUUAGAUACCCUGGUAGUCCACGCCUUAAACUAUGAAUACUAAGUGUCGGCGGGUUACCGCCGGUGCCGCAGCUAACGCAUUAAGUAUUCCGCCUGGGAAGUACGGCCGCAAGGUUG